CUCGCAUUGCCGGUUGGCUCUUAUCAAGUGUAGUGACUGUUCUUGGCAUUUUCAUCUUUGAGUCACGUCCUUAGGGGGACAAGUUACAGAUAUCAGCUUUUUCGAUGCCGGAUGGUGGCGGCUGAGCUCUGCUUACGUCGGUUUUCCACGGGGUCCCGAGUAUUGCACUAUCUCCGGGCGAUGCAAACCAUC
rnacentral:snRNA from 1 species